rnacentral:lncRNA from 1 species
CUGAAGAAAACAGGCAUGGCGACCUUCUCAAUAAGUAUCUCUACCUAUCUGGACGUGUAGACAUGAAGCAAAUUGAGAAGACAAUUCAAUACCUGAUAGGAUCAGGAAUGGUGAGAUUCUCCUUUCCUAUUACUAAAUUCUAUAUAAGAGGACAAGCUUCUUCUGUUGUCUAUGCUGUGCACUUGAUUUUUCAGUAUUUAUGAGUUUGUUGUUUUCUUAGGAUCCUAAAACAGAAAACAACCCCUACCUUGGUUUCAUCUACACUUCAUUCCAAGAGAGGGCAACAUUUAUCUCCCAUGGGAACACAGCCAGACAUGCCAAGGAUUAUGGAGACUUGAAACUUGCACAGAUAUGUGGCAUCAUUGCCUCUGAUGAGAAACGCCAUGAAACUGCCUACACCAAGAUUGUGGAGAAGCUCUUUGAAAUUGAUCCAGAUGGCACUGUCAUGGCUUUAGCUGAUAUGAUGAAGAAGAAAAUAUCAAUGCCCGCCCAUUUAAUGUAUGAUGGCCGGGAUGAUAACCUAUUUGAACACUUCUCAACAGUUGCCCAGCGGCUCGGAGUCUACACUGCAAAGGACUAUGCUGACAUUUUGGAAUUUCUGGUGGGUAGAUGGAACAUAGAAAAGUUGACGGGUCUUUCGGGAGAGGGCCGUAAAGCUCAAGAUUUUGUUUGUGGUUUGCCUCCAAGAAUUAGAAGGUUGGAGGAGAGAGCUCAGGGAA